rnacentral:rRNA from 1 species
CAGCAGCCGCGGUAAGACAGAGGAUGCAAGCGUUAUCCGGAAUGAUUGGGCGUAAAGCGUCUGUAGGUGGCUUUUCAAGUCCGCCGUCAAAUCCCAGGGCUCAACCCUGGACAGGCGGUGGAAACUACCAAGCUGGAGUACGGUAGGGGCAGAGGGAAUUUCCGGUGGAGCGGUGGAAUGCGUUGAGAUCGGAAAGAACCCCAACGGCGAAAGCACUCUGCUGGGCCGACACUGACACUGAGAGACGAAAGCUAGGGGAGCAAAUGGGAUUAGAUACCCGUGUAGUCCCUGUCUCUUAUAC